rnacentral:lncRNA from 1 species
CACAGUGGAUAUGGAAAUUAUAGAUGCAAUGAAUAUGGGUAAACUUUUAGCCACAGAAAUAGGCUUAUCCAGCACCAGAGUAUCCUGCCUGUAGAAAGGACAUAUAAGUACAGUAAGAGUGGGGGAUUGUUCCUCAGAAGAUCCUAUCUUGUCAGGCAUAAGAACGUUCCCACUGUAGAAAGGCCCUAUGAGUGCACCUAGUGUAGUAAGUUAUUCAGCCAAAGCUCUGGCCUUAUUGUUCACCAGAGUAGAGCAAGUGCCACUGGACACAGUGGACAUUGCCCCGUGGGGAAUGCUUUAACCAUUAUUCUGACCUUGCUGAACACUACAGAUGUCACAUCACCCAAGACCAUUAUAAUUGCAGUGGGUAUGGAAAAGCCUCAGUUACAAACACAUACUUAUUCAGCAUCAGUGAGCUCACACUGAGAAAGGGUGUCACCAGUAUACUGACUGUAGAAAAGCCUUUAGCAGGAAGUGAAGACUUGUUGAGCAUCAUGCAAUCCACAGCACAGGAAGUCUUUAUGAAUUCAGUAGAUCCAGGAGAUAUUUUCCACAAAGCAACAUUAGAAAAUCCAUAGCAAAUCCAAACCUUAUAAGUAUGGCAUACAUGAGAAAUUCUUUAGCUAUAUAAGCACCCUUGUUUGGAAUCAGAGAAUUCCCACAAGAAAAAUAUCAUAUCGGUGAACAGUAUUGGGCAAAUUCUUCAGCUAAAGGCCUAGCCCUAUUUCACAUCAAAGAGUUCACACAGGUAGAAAGCCA